CAAUGAGAUAGCACUUCAUAAUGUCUAGCAUGGCCAUUUAAGAAAAUGAAAAAUAGUAAGUGUUAACAAGAAUGUGGAGAAAUUAGAAACCCCAUACUUUGCUUUUGGGAAUGUAAAAAUGAUGCCACCAUUGUGGAAAACAGUUUGGUGGUUCCUCAAAAAGCCAGACAUAGAAUUACCAUAUGAUUCAGCAAUUCACUUCAAUGUAUACACCCCACACAUACAUUGAAAACAUGUUCAAACAAAAACAUGCACGUGAAUGUUCAUAGCAGCAUUGUUCAUAAGAGCCAAACAAGUGGAAACAACCCAAAUGUCCAUCAACUGAUGCAUAAAUAAACAAAAUGUGGUAUAUCCAUCCAAAGGAGUAUUAUACAGCCACAAAAAGAAAUGGAGCACUGAUACACACUACAAUAUCUCUCAAUCUAGGCCCAACAAGGGUCCCCAUAGACAUAGAAUAAAGCAGUAUUGUUUGGUGGGGGGUUUAAUUUCACUCCAUCACAAGUGACCAUCGCAGCCCUGUCAUUGCAAUUUGUCACACUUUUUUGAUACUGAAGGUUCCUAAAUUACCAGCAAAGAAACUACACAAAGACACAAUCCUGCUUACCAAAGAAACAUCUGAAUUAUCAAUUUGGAAAUAGGAAAUAGGUAGAGGAAAACAGGAAACUUUGUGGAGGGGGGAAAAGCUCGGAGUGUGUGAUUACACUGAGGUAUGUUUCUUUUCUUUCUUUUUUCUUUUUCUUCUUUUUUUUUCUUUUUUUUUUUUUUUUGAGACAGGGUCUCACUCUGUUACCCAGACUUGUGUGCAGUGCCACAGUCAUGACUCACUGCAACCUUUGCCUCCCAGGCUCAAGUGAUCCUCCCACCUCGGCCUCCCAAGUAACUGGGACCACCACACC
rnacentral:lncRNA from 1 species